ACGGCUAUGGGGAAGAUAGUGGUGGUUGUGUGCGUCGCGGUGGGACGACAAUGUUUACGCUGGUGCCAGCGGUGGAAAGGGGUGGAGCUUGUGGGCUCCACGGAGGCUGACUUGAAGACGAAGGUGGCGGCGGUGAUUAAGGAGGUGGCCCGCACGCUCCUUGAGAUCAAUUAAUCCGAUGUGUGAGUCCCAUGUGUUCAUCAUCAAACUCAUCCUCCCAAAGUACAAUUAGUACAAGUUUAUCUCUUUUUUCUUUACUACUGAACUUUAUUUUUCUACAUACUUUUUUCUCUCUGUAAUGACUUAGGAUCAUUACUAUGUAUUCUUUUUUUGCGGGAAUCAUUACUAUGUAUUCAACCAGGGUUAAUCAAUAUUUAGCCACAAUAUGUAUGUCAGAAAACAGCUUCCACCUACAAAGAAUUACAAGACAGGAAACUCGGGGUUCAGAAGCUUGAGAAAUUGUAUGUGGACAUGGCCUUGCAAAAAGAACUUAGGUUCGUUCUCUAUGAGAAACUGAAAAUGUUUUUUAAAAAAUUAGGUCAGGUCUAUAUACUAUCUUUCGUAACUGAACCAUGGAUGUUAUGCUUAUAUUGAAAAUAAUUUGAAAUUUACAAGGCAGUGGAGCCAGUUCAUAUUUUGUGAGCAACCAAAGUGCAAGCAGCCUAAAUUAGUAAUCUUCGAAUAAAUUGGCUUAUGAAAUUUUGAUGGUUUUGUCAAUAGUACAGUAGCACUAGAUAUUCUAAUGUUUCUUAUAUUUAGAAAAUUUGCCCUGACCAGAUUUUACUACUGUGGCAUGCAGAAACCUUGAUGCAAAAGGAAGCUCCAUGAAGAAGAGAUUGAAAAUCCAACAUCACAACAUAUAUAAAAUUUCUUAUUUUCAUGAUUAGCAAAGUAAUUGCAGACUGCUUGUUUGUUGUCUGAUAAAACACAUCUCUGAAAAUUCAGUAGACCCUUUGAUCGAGUUUACAUCUGUUAUCGUGUCUA
rnacentral:lncRNA from 1 species